rnacentral:rRNA from 1 species
GAUGAACGCUGGCGGCGUGCUUAACACAUGCAAGUCGAACGGUGAACACGGAGCUUGCUCUGUGGGAUCAGUGGCGAACGGGUGAGUAACACGUGAGCAACCUGCCCCUGACUCUGGGAUAAGCGCUGGAAACGGCGUCUAAUACUGGAUAUGUGACGUGACCGCAUGGUCUGCGUUUGGAAAGAUUUUUCGGUUGGGGAUGGGCUCGCGGCCUAUCAGCUUGUUGGUGAGGUAAUGGCUCACCAAGGCGUCGACGGGUAGCCGGCCUGAGAGGGUGACCGGCCACACUAGGACUGAGACACGGCCCAGACUCCUACGGGAGGCAGCAGUGGGGAAUAUUGCACAAUGGGCGCAAGCCUGAUGCAGCAACGCCGCGUGAGGGAUGACGGCCUUCGGGUUGUAAACCUCUUUUAGCAGGGAAGAAGCGAAAGUGACGGUACCUGCAGAAAAAGCGCCGGCUAACUACGUG